rnacentral:rRNA from 1 species
CCUACGGGUGGCAGCAGUGGGGAAUAUUGGACAAUGGGCGAAAGCCUGAUCCAGCCAUGCCGCGUGUGUGAAGAAGGCCUUCGGGUUGUAAAGCACUUUCAGUGGGGAAGAAAGCCUUGGGGCUAAUACCCUCGAGGAAGGACAUCACCCACAGAAGAAGCACCGGCUAACUCCGUGCCAGCAGCCGCGGUAAUACGGAGGGUGCGAGCGGUAAUCGGAAUUACUGGGCGUAAAGCGCGCGUAGGCGGUCUGAUAAGCCGGUUGUGAAAGCCCCGGGCUCAACCUGGGAACGGCAUCCGGAACUGUCAGGCUAGAGUGCAGGAGAGGAAGGUAGAAUUCCCGGUGUAGCGGUGAAAUGCGUAGAGAUCGGGAGGAAUACCAGUGGCGAAGGCGGCCUUCUGGACUGACACUGACGCUGAGGUGCGAAAGCGUGGGUAGCAAACAGGAUUAGAUACCCGUGUAGUC